rnacentral:lncRNA from 1 species
GAGAAAGGUAAAAGAUUAAGCUGAACAGGAGGACCCAAUGAAACUCCGGUGGCAGCAGCUUCACCAUGAAGGGUAGUAUCAACAACUUUAUCAUGAGAUCUCAGAGAUGCAGUAAAUCCAGUUGGUAAUCCCAUGCAAAACCCUAGAUCUUCAGUAGAAACCUUAGGGGUGUGGUGAAGAAACUUGAAGGGCUUCGAUGUAUCACCA